rnacentral:tRNA from 1 species
GUACCCUUAGCUCAGUUGGUUAGAGUAGACGGCUUAUAACUAUCUGAUUGUAGGUUUUAAUUCUACAGGGCACA